rnacentral:piRNA from 1 species
UAUGGCAGCACAAAACAAAAUCACUCCC